AUCUCAAUUACCAUUUGCCGGUCUUAAGACUAAUGUUUCGAUUCAGAAUGAAGAAUAGGUAUUGGUGUCCUUGUUGAACUUGUAUUUUCCUUAUUAUUUCAAUACCAUUAUCUAACUUUAUUACCAUUUGUCGGUUCCAAGACUGAAGUUCGUUAAAUGUAUAAAUUACACCACUUCUAUGUCCUCGCAAGGCGAAUAUAAGAAUACUAUAAUGGAUGAGGCUAUCUCAAAUACCAUUUGUCGGUCUUAAACUAAACUUGGAUUCAAGACGAAAAACAUUGGUGUCCUUGUUAAAUUUUUAUUUACCUUAUUAUUUCAAUACCAUUAUCCAACUCUAUUACCAUUUGUCGGUUCCAAGACUGAAGUUCGUUAAAUGUAUAAAUUACACCACUUCGAUGUCCUCGCAAGGCGAAUAUAAGAAUACUAUAAUGGAUGAGGCUAUCUCAAAUACCAUUUGUCGGUCUUAAACUAAACUUGGAUUCAAGACGAAGAACAGGUAUUGGUGUCCUUGUUGAUCUUGUAUUUUCCUUAUUAUUUCAAUACCAUUAUCUACCUCAAUUACCAUUUGCCGGUCUUAAGACAAAACUUGGAUUCUGAAUGAAGAACAGAUAUCUUUUUACGGUUCUGACAGUUCCGAAGAGUUCUCUAAACGUAUACAUUUUGUAUUGAAGUAUCUCCACCUUAUUAAGUCACCAAGGAGCUAAAUCCAUUGGCGGUGAAUUAAAAGUGAAAACUUCUGGACCAAGGAUAUUUUC